CGUGACCGACCUGCCCCAUACACCGGAAUAGCUCCUGGAAACGGGUGGUAAUGCCGGAUGCUCCAGUUGGAUGCAUGUCCUUCUGGGAAAGAUUCAUCGGUAUGGGAUGGGGUCGCGUCCUAUCAGCUUGAUGGCGGGGUAACGGCCCACCAUGGCUUCGACGGGUAGCCGGCCUGAGAGGGCGACCGGCCACAUUGGGACUGAGAUACGGCCCAGACUCCUACGGGAGGCAGCAGUGGGGAAUAUUGCACAAUGGGCGCAAGCCUGAUGCAGCGACGCCGCGUGCGGGAUGACGGCCUUCGGGUUGUAAACCGCUUUUGACUGGGAGCAAGCCCUUCGGGGUGAGUGUACCUUUCGAAUAAGCACCGGCUAACUACGUGCCAGCAGCCGCGGUAAUACGUAGGGUGCAAGCGUUAUCCGGAAUUAUUGGGCGUAAAGGGCUCGUAGGCGGUUCGUCGCGUCCGGUGUGAAAGUCCAUCGCUUAACGGUGGAUCCGCGCCGGGUACGGGCGGGCUUGAGUGCGGUAGGGGAGACUGGAAUUCCCGGUGUAACGGUGGAAUGUGUAGAUAUCGGGAAGAACACCAAUGGCGAAGGCAGGUCUCUGGGCCGUCACUGACGCUGAGGAGCGAAAGCGUGGGGAGCGAACAGGAUUAGAUACCCUGGUAGUCCACGCCGUAAACGGUGGAUGCUGGAUGUGGGGACCAUUCCACGGUCUCCGUGUCGGAGCCAACGCGUUAAGCAUCCCGCCUGGGGAGUACGGCCGCAAGGCUAAAACUCAAAGAAAUUGACGGGGGCCCGCACAAGCGGCGGAGCAUGCGGAUUAAUUCGAUGCAACGCGAAGAACCUUACCUGGGCUUGACAUGUUCCCGACAGCCCCAGAGAUGGGGCCUCCCUUCGGGGCGGGUUCACAGGUGGUGCAUGGUCGUCGUCAGCUCGUGUCGUGAGAUGUUGGGUUAAGUCCCGCAACGAGCGCAACCCUCGCCCUGUGUUGCCAGCACGUCGUGGUGGGAACUCACGGGGGACCGCCGGGGUCAACUCGGAGGAAGGUGGGGAUGACGUCAGAUCAUCAUGCCCCUUACGUCCAGGGCUUCACGCAUGCUACAAUGGCCGGUACAACGGGAUGCGACACUGUGAGGUGGAGCGGAUCC
rnacentral:rRNA from 1 species